rnacentral:lncRNA from 1 species
UAGACUUGAAAUUUAAAAAUAUGAGAGUUGACAUGUUGAUUGAAAUCAAGAUUAGGAACUUGAUUAUAAAUUCGGGUGAGUUUUAGGGUCUAGGGUAAAACUAUAGUAAGAUGGUUGUUGUUAGUAUUGAAAUCUUAUUGUGGUUAUUUAUUUGAUUAGAGUGCACUGAUUCGGAAGCUCAACGAAAGGGGAAAACUCAAGACCCGAAGUGAUUGUUCAAUUAAUUAAGGCAACUGGACUUCUAAAUCCUUGUUGAGUGUAUAGAAUCAUGUAUUUCCUUGUGGUAUGUGUUGAGGAGUAAUGAGACUUGGUGAUGGCUUGACUUGUCCAUAUUGAAUAAUUCUAAUGAUGAAAAAGGGGUAAUAAAAGACAAUGCGAUUAAUUAUUAGUGUGUGAUGUGUUGAGAAUGGUUUGAAAGGCUUAUUGAUUAAUUGUUGAUGUUGUAUCACGAUUGUCUUGUUGUGAAUUGUGCAUUGUUAUGAAAAUAACCAUCUCCUCAUUACUUGUGUAAACGUGUUAUUUGCAUUGAUUCUGAGACAUGGUUAUGAUAAGUGUUAUAUGAAUUGAGG